rnacentral:sRNA from 20 species
GUCAGAAACCUCAGUCUAAAGGCAUGAGGCUUGAAAGAGAAAUCUAGCAAGCCGUUCUGACCAGCCUCAGCACUUCAAGUGCUAUGUUUUUUGAGUCACGAUACCGGAGGAUACGUAGCCAGUCUUCCGCUCUAUC